GGCCAUACCACCCUGAACGCGCCCGAUCUCGUCUGAUCUCGGAAGCUAAGCAGGGUCGGGCCUGGUUAGUACUUGGAUGGGAGAAGUGAAAUAGUUAUAUUUUUAAAAAUGGGAAUCCUAGGGCGCC
rnacentral:rRNA from 1 species